AUUGAACGCUGGCGGCAUGCCUUACACAUGCAAGUCGAACGGCAGCGGACCUUCGGGUGCCGGCGAGUGGCGAACGGGUGAGUAAUGUAUCGGAACGUACCUUUCAGUGGGGGAUAACGUAGCGAAAGUUACGCUAAUACCGCAUAUUCUGUGAGCAGGAAAGCAGGGGAUCGCAAGACCUUGCGCUGAUUGAGCGGCCGAUAUCAGAUUAGCUAGUUGGUGAGGUAAAGGCUCACCAAGGCGACGAUCUGUAGCGGGUCUGAGAGGAUGAUCCGCCACACUGGAACUGAGACACGGUCCAGACUCCUACGGGAGGCGGCAGUGGGGAAUUUUGGACAAUGGGGGCAACCCUGAUCCAGCCAUGCCGCGUGAGUGAAGAAGGCCUUCGGGUUGUAAAGCUCUUUCGUCCGGGAAGAAAUCGCGUCAGCUAAUACCUGGUGUGGAUGACGGUACCGGAAUAAGAAGCACCGGCUAACUACGUGCCAGCCGCCGCCGUAAUAC
rnacentral:rRNA from 1 species